UGCCCUAUGCGUCCCCCGACGUAUAAGCGACUUUUCCUUCCUCCUUAUCAACACGAGCACUGCUAUUGUCAAAUCGCAGCACUUUGUUCCUCUGCCGUCUUCUUCCUUCCGCGUAUUGUCAAUUUCAGGGCAGAGAACCAGCAUCGCAAACUUAGGGUUUCUUGUAUUUUGAUAGAUAGUCUAUGCUCGAAUUGCAGGAGACGACAAUUGUUAGGGUUUCUGUCCUGAGCGAGAGACAAGGAGUUGUAUAAGGGGAAGGGGAAAAAUCGUAGAGCAUUAUUGGGAGGAUGGUGGGCGGUGGGAUCGAGGUAGUGGGGGCGGUUCUUGAGGUUGCAGACGUUGCCUGGACAGCUCUUGAACACCACAAACACAUCUAUGAAACCAAUCACUGCGCUAAUAGUGCACAACCCACUGAGGAUGAAAUUUUGAAGGAGAACCAAAGGCUGAGAUCUCUUCUUGAGGAGAACAUCAAACUUCUCCAAGAGCUUCGCCGAUCGCUCUCCCAUGAUGGUUCCAAGGAUGUUCCUCCUGAUCUCUUUCAACGCCUUGUAAAUACUGUGGAGUCCUCAAGCUUUCGGGAUCAAUUAAAUUCCAUUCAUCAGACCUUAAUGCAUACACACAAUGACUUUGCUCCCAAGAAAGUUGAAGGGGAAUAUUUAGUUAGCGUCGACCCUGAAAAACCAAGUUGGGUGUGGAUUAUGGAUGAAAGAAGUCCAAGUAGUAUGGAAGAGUUGAGUGGAAUUGACAAUGAAAGCUACGUGAUUGUGAGUGAGGAUGAUAUAGUGGAUGGAAUUGCCAAUUUUAUGGCCCAAUGCAUAAUCUUAAACCCAAGGUCUCAGCCUGGAAUUGCCAUGCAGAGGAUGACCCCAGAGGAGUUGCAGAAGAAUAACUCUUGGCAUGCCGAAGCCACUUUCUCACCAAUGAACCAAGGGUCGCAGGAGAAUGUUUUCUGUAGCUGGAGCAUUUGGAUGGAUGAACAGUGCUGAGAAGAUGUUGAAAAUAUGGCAUGCUGGCAAGAUAAUGUACACAUUGUCUACAUGGGGUCUUGCUAUGGCUGGGUUGUACAGGCAUCGUGCUGUUUUGAAAAUAGCAGCUCAGGGGAUCCAUGCAUCAAGCAAGGUCAUCCUAAAAGCUCUCUGAAAUGGGUACUAUUAGUCCAUUGCAGAAUGAAGAUUGAUGCUUGUCUUAUAAUUAUCAUUGAGCAAGGUCUUUGUUAAAGUUAUAUGAGGUGGGUGAUAACCGAUUGUCGUCCAUAAACAGAACUAUUGUUGGAAUGUCGUUGGUCCAUUCAAAUUUCGUUGUAUUAACCCAUUUGUGUUCUUCUAGUGUUUUCAGCUGUGUCCUACCAAAGGCCCCUGCUAUGUACAUAAAUAUUUUCUUGUAUCGACUCAUUUUUAUCCGAAAUAGCUUUUUAUUUACAUUUAGUCCUGUACUUUCUUAAGUGUUAAUAUUGUGAAAAAUCAAAACUGGCUUCUUUAUUAAUGACUAUAUAUUUUUGGCAUC